CACACACACACACACACACACACACAAAUUUUACUAUAAGCUUAUUUUCAGGCACUUACGCUUUUAGAUUUGAUCUUAUACUUUCCAAAACAUUUGUUUUUCGUUUAUUAAUUUUUUUAUUAUUUAGUUUUUUAAAGAGCUGUACAAACAGCAGAUGUGUUGAAGGAGAAAGGAUUUUGGAAUCAGAGACCAACUCUCAGUCCUGCCUCGGAGAUCUCCUUGCUGUGUGAACUUGGUCCUGCCUCUCUGCACCUUGGUUUCUUACCUUAUCUGCAUACAUUCAGUAAAGAACAGACUAUUUUCUUUCUUGCUGAUUUGAAAGAAUUUCUCUGCCAAACUGAACCCAACGGUAGAAGAGCCAUGCAUGUGGGAAUAUGUCAGGAUAUGUCUAAAUGAGCUUCAGGAAGGGAGAGGAAGCGAUGUGUUAAACCUCCUUGGGAUGCAUGAUCAUCAGGAACGUCUCUGCUGAUGGAGAAACAACCCAGUCCUUAUUCCUGUGUUUAUUUUUUGCUCCUAACCAUGUCAUUACAUUUUGCCACAGAGUGAGGGAAUAGCUUCAGUGUAAGUUUACUCUCACAACCUAAAUAAAUGGCUCUGAAAAAUGACAGAGAGUUAGGUCUCCACUUUCUGUUCUAUGCUCAUUUGUUCCUUUGAGCCUCUGUGUUGCCUCCCUUACUGUGGGGAUAGUUGGUUAACAGUUUUGUAUGUUUGUAUGAAUCAAGGUUAGUUUCCUCCUGAAAGGAGAAAAAAUUACCAAUACCAAUUUAGAUUUACUUGCAUCGGUCAUUAGCCAUUUUUCAUCAGUCAGAAUUAUAACCCUUUAAAAGAUGUGAUACAGAACACAAACACAGAUUUGUUUACCUGCCAAACAGGAGGGCCCCAAACUGGAGAUGCCAAGCUUGUGGCAAGGGAAGAGCUUUAUUACUGAAAGGCAGCCAGACGAGGAGAUGGGAGCUAGAAUAUAGAUCUACCUCCCCGAAGGGCCUAUGGUGGGGGUUUUGUGCAGGGUUUUAGGUAGGGGAGGGGAGCAUAUGGCUUUGCUGGCUAGCACCUUCCCACCAGCCUGUGUGUGGCCUUGAAGACUGAAUUUCUUUUCCCUUGACUUUCUGGACUUUUCUGUUAGUUUUCAUCUUCAGCCUGUGUUUGGCCUUGUGAGGCUGUGUCUUGAUGUCUGGACCUUGACUUCCUGGGAAAGAAGCUCGCUCAUGUACUAAGGAGGGACAGAAGGAGCUGGUUAGUUUUAAACACAGUUGAUUAUGCUGAAUAUGCACAGCUGCACUUAGCAAAGCUCAUCUCAAAGUUUUUGCUCUAGGAAAGAUUUUUUAACUUUGUUCUUGAUUUCAAGGGGAGUCAUCUGAUUUGAAAGCAGGUGGGAUGGGGCCUACUGGAAGCUGUUUCC
rnacentral:lncRNA from 1 species